rfam:Serratia sp. M24T3 contig011, whole genome shotgun sequence.
CCGUUUUCUGGAGAUGACAUUCCUCCCAAACCGCCCUGACCGGCUAAUGAUGUCUACGCAAUC